rnacentral:rRNA from 1 species
CCUGGCGGCGUGCUUACCAUGCNAGUCGAACGAUGACUUUUGUGCUUGCGCUUUAUGAUUAGUGGCUAACGGAUGAGUAACACAAUGAGUAACCUGCCCUUAACUUCGGGAUAGACCUGGGAAACCGGGUCUAAUACCGGAUACAUACUGACUGCCGCAUGGCGGUCCGUGCAAAGCUUUAUGCUGUUUUGGAUGGACUCGCGGCCUAUCAGCUAGUUGGUUGGGGUAAUGGCCCACCAAGGCGACGACGGGUAGCCGGCCUGAGAGGAGUGAACCGGCCGCACUGGGACUGAAACACGGCCCAAACUCCUACGGGAGGCAGCAGUGGGGAAUAUUGCACAAUGGGCGGAAAGCCUGAUGCAGCCACGCCGCGUGAGGGACGAAGGCCUUCGGGUUGUAAACCUCUUUCAGUAAGGAAGAAGCUAACGUGACUGUACCUGCUGAAGAAUCACCUGCUAACUACAUGCCACCAGCCGCGGUAAU